rnacentral:rRNA from 1 species
UACGUAGGGAGCAAGCGUUUGUCCGGAAUCAUUGGGCGUAAAGCGCGCGUAGGCGGCCCGAUAAGUCCGCUGUGAAAGUCAACGGCUCAACUGUUGGAUGCCGGUGGAUACUGUCGGGCUAGAGUACGGAAGAGGCAAGUGGAAUUCCUGGUGUAGCGGUGGAAUGCGCAGAUAUCAGGAGGAACACCUAUAGCGAAGGCAGCUUGCUGGGACGUUACUGACGCUAAGGCGCGAAAGCGUGGGGAGCGAACAGG